rnacentral:rRNA from 1 species
CCGGACGUUGUACGAUAGGAGUACACCACGUGAGUGGCGGACGGGUGGAGUGACACGUAGGUAACCUGCCCCGGAGCGGGGGAUAACAUUUGGAAACAGAUGCUAAUACCGCAUAACAACAAAAUCCACAUGGCUUUUGUUUGAAAGAUGGCUUUUGGCUAUCACUCUGGGAUGGACCUGCGGUGCAUUAGCUAGUUGGUAAGGUAACGGCUUACCAAGGCGAUGAUGCAUAGCCGAGUUGAGAGACUGAUCGGCCACAAUGGAACUGAGACACGGUCCAUACUCCUACGGGAGGCAGCAGUAGGGAAUCUUCCACAAUGGGCGCAAGCCUGAUGGAGCAACACCGCGUGAGUGAAGAAGGGUUUCGGCUCGUAAAGCUCUGUUGUUGGAGAAGAACGUGCGUGAGAGUAACUGUUCAUGCAGUGACGGUAUCCAACCAGAAAGUCACGGCUAACUACGUGCC